rnacentral:rRNA from 1 species
GGCAGCACGAUGUAGCAAUACAUUGGUGGCGACCGGCGCACGGGUGAGUAACGCGUAUGCAACCUACCUAUCAGAGGGGAAUAACCCGGCGAAAGUCGGACUAAUACCGCAUAAAACAGGGGUUCCACAUGGAAAUAUUUGUUAAAGAAUUAUCGCUGAUAGAUGGGCAUGCGUUCCAUUAGAUAGUUGGUGAGGUAACGGCUCACCAAGUCCACGAUGGAUAGGGGUUCUGAGGGGAAGGUCCCCCACACUGGUACUGAGACACGGACCAGACUCCUACGGGAGGCAGCAGUGAGGAAUAUUGGUCAAUGGGCGAGAGCCUGAACCAGCCAAGUCGCGUGAAGGAUGAAGGAUCUAUGGUUUGUAAACUUCUUUUAUAUGGGAAUAAAGUGAGGAACGUGUUCCUUUUUGUAUGUACCAUAUGAAUAAGCAUCGGCUAACUCCGUGCCAGCAGCCGCGGUAAUACGGAGGAUGCGAGCGUUAUCCGGAUUUAUUGGGUUUAAAGGGUGCGUAGGUGGUUAAUUAAGUCAGCGGUGAAAGUUUGUGGCUCAACCAUAAAAUUGCCGUUGAAACUGGUUGACUUGAGUAUAUUUGAGGUAGGCGGAAUGCGUGGUGUAGCGGUGAAAUGCAUAGAUAUCACGCAGAACUCCGAUUGCGAAGGCAGCUUACUAAACUAUAACUGACACUGAAGCACGAAAGCGUGGGGAUCAAACAGGAUUAGAUACCCUGGUAGUCCACGCAGUAAACGAUGAUUACUAGCUGUUUGCGAUACACAGUAAGCGGCACAGCG